rnacentral:rRNA from 1 species
CCUGGCUCACGAUGAACGCUAGCUACAGGCUUAACACAUGCAAGUCGAGGGGCAGCAUGGUCUUAGCUUGCUAAGGCCGAUGGCGACCGGCGCACGGGUGAGUAACACGUAUCCAACCUGCCGUCUACUCUUGGACAGCCUUCUGAAAGGAAGAUUAAUACAAGAUGGCAUCAUGAGUCCGCAUGUUCACAUGAUUAAAGGUAUUCCGGUAGACGAUGGGGAUGCGUUCCAUUAGAUAGUAGGCGGGGUAACGGCCCACCUAGUCUUCGAUGGAUAGGGGUUCUGAGAGGAAGGUCCCCCACAUUGGAACUGAGACACGGUCCAAACUCCUACGGGAGGCAGCAGUGAGGAAUAUUGGUCAAUGGGCGAGAGCCUGAACCAGCCAAGUAGCGUGAAGGAUGACUGCCCUAUGGGUUGUAAACUUCUUUUAUAAAGGAAUAAAGUCGGGUAUGGAUACCCGUUUGCAUGUACUUUAUGAAUAAGGAUCGGCUAACUCCGUGCCAGCAGCCGCGGUAAUACGGAGGAUCCGAGCGUUAUCCGGAUUUAUUGGGUUUAAAGGGAGCGUAGAUGGAUGUUUAAGUCAGUUGUGAAAGUUUGCGGCUCAACCGUAAAAUUGCAGUUGAUACUGGAUAUCUUGAGUGCAGUUGAGGCAGGCGGAAUUCGUGGUGUAGCGGUGAAAUGCUUAGAUAUCACGAAGAACUCCGAUUGCGAAGGCAGCCUGCUAAGCUGCAACUGACAUUGAGGCUCGAAAGUGUGGGUAUCAAACAGGAUUAGAUACCCUGGUAGUCCACACGGUAAACGAUGAAUACUCGCUGUUUGCGAUAUACAGCAAGCGGCCAAGCGAAAGCGUUAAGUAUUCCACCUGGGGAGUACGCCGGCAACGGUGAAACUCAAAGGAAUUGACGGGGGCCCGCACAAGCGGAGGAACAUGUGGUUUAAUUCGAUGAUACGCGAGGAACCUUACCCGGGCUUAAAUUGCAGAUGAAUUACGGUGAAAGCCGUAAGCCGCAAGGCAUCUGUGAAGGUGCUGCAUGGUUGUCGUCAGCUCGUGCCGUGAGGUGUCGGCUUAAGUGCCAUAACGAGCGCAACCCUUGUUGUCAGUUACUAACAGGUUCCGCUGAGGACUCUGACAAGACUGCCAUCGUAAGAUGUGAGGAAGGUGGGGAUGACGUCAAAUCAGCACGGCCCUUACGUCCGGGGCUACACACGUGUUACAAUGGGGGGUACAGAGGGCCGCUACCACGCGAGUGGAUGCCAAUCCCAAAAACCUCUCUCAGUUCGGACUGGAGUCUGCAACCCGACUCCACGAAGCUGGAUUCGCUAGUAAUCGCGCAUCAGCCACGGCGCGGUGAAUACGUUCCCGGGCCUUGUACACACCGCCC